AGAGUUUGAUCCUGGCUCAGGAUGAACGCUAGCGGCAGGCUUAACACAUGCAAGUCGAGGGGCAGCAUAAUGGAUAGCAAUAUCUAUGGUGGCGACCGGCGCACGGGUGCGUAACGCGUAUGCAACCUACCUUUAACAGGGGGAUAACACUGAGAAAUUGGUACUAAUACCCCAUAACAUCAUGAGAGGCAUCUUUUAUGGUUGAAAAUUCCGGUGGUUAUAGAUGGACAUGCGUUGUAUUAGCUAGUUGGUGAGGUAACGGCUCACCAAGGCAACGAUACAUAGGGGGACUGAGAGGUUAACCCCCCACACUGGUACUGAGACACGGACCAGACUCCUACGGGAGGCAGCAGUGAGGAAUAUUGGUCAAUGGACGCAAGUCUGAACCAGCCAUGCCGCGUGCAGGAUGACGGCUCUAUGAGUUGUAAACUGCUUUUGUACUAGGGUAAACUCACCUACGUGUAGGUGACUGAAAGUAUCGUACGAAUAAGGAUCGGCUAACUCCGUGCCAGCAGCCGCGGUAAUACGGAGGAUUCAAGCGUUAUCCGGAUUUAUUGGGUUUAAAGGGUGCGUAGGCGGUUUGAUAAGUUAGAGGUGAAAUGUUAGGGCUCAACCCUGAAACUGCCUCUAAUACUGUUGGACUAGAGAGUAGUUGCGGUAGGCGGAAUGUAUGGUGUAGCGGUGAAAUGCUUAGAGAUCAUACAGAACACCGAUUGCGAAGGCAGCUUACCAAACUAUAUCUGACGUUGAGGCACGAAAGCGUGGGGAGCAAACAGGAUUAGAUACCCUGGUAGUCCACGCAGUAAACGAUGAUAACUCGUUGUCGGCGAUACACAGUCGGUGACUAAGCGAAAGCGAUAAGUUAUCCACCUGGGGAGUACGUUCGCAAGAAUGAAACUCAAAGGAAUUGACGGGGGCCCGCACAAGCGGAGGAACAUGUG
rnacentral:rRNA from 1 species